rnacentral:rRNA from 1 species
UACAGAGGGUGCAAGCGUUAAUCGGAAUUACUGGGCGUAAAGGGUGCGUAGGUGGAUGGCUAAGUUAUUUGUGAAAGCCCUGGGCUUAACCUGGGAAUGGCAUAUGAUACUGACCAUCUAGAGUAGAGUAGAGGAGAGUGGAAUUUCCGGUGUAGCGGUGAAAUGCGUAGAUAUCGGAAGGAACACCAGUGGCGUAGGCGACUCUCUGGACUCAUACUGACGCUUAGGCACGAAAGCGUGGGGAGCAAACAGG